rnacentral:rRNA from 1 species
CUACACAUGCAAGUCGAACGGUAGCACAGAGGAGCUUGCUCCUUGGGUGACGAGUGGCGGACGGGUGAGUAAUGUCUGGGAAACUGCCCGAUGGAGGGGGAUAACUACUGGAAACGGUAGCUAAUACCGCAUAAUGUCGCAAGACCAAAGAGGGGGACCUUCGGGCCUCUUGCCAUCGGAUGUGCCCAGAUGGGAUUAGCUAGUAGGUGGGGUAACGGCUCACCUAGGCGACGAUCCCUAGCUGGUCUGAGAGGAUGACCAGCCACACUGGAACUGAGACACGGUCCAGACUCCUACGGGAGGCAGCAGUGGGGAAUAUUGCACAAUGGGCGCAAGCCUGAUGCAGCCAUGCCGCGUGUAUGAAGAAGGCCUUCGGGUUGUAAAGUACUUUCAGCGAGGAGGAAGGCGUUGUGGUUAAUAACCGCAGCGAUUGACGUUACUCGCAGAAGAAGCACCGGCUAACUCCGUGCCAGCAGCCGCGGUAUACGGAGGGUGCAAGCGUUAAUCGGAAUUACUGGGCGUAAAGCGCACGCAGGCGGUCUGUCAAGUCGGAUGUGAAAUCCCCGGGCUCAACCUGGGAACUGCAUCCGAAACUGGCAGGCUAGAGUCUUGUAGAGGGGGGUAGAAUUCCAGGUGUAGCGGUGAAAUGCGUAGAGAUCUGGAGGAAUACCGGUGGCGAAAGCGGCCCCCUGGACAAAGACUGACGCUCAGUGCGAAAGCGUGGGGAGCAAACAGGAUUAGAUACCCUGGUAGUCCACGCCGUAAACGAUGUCGACUUGGAGGUUGUGCCCUUGAGCGUGCUUCCGGAGCUAACGCGUUAAGUCGACCGCCUGGGGGAGUACGGCCGCAAGGUAAACUCAAAUGAAUUGACGGG